GGGUGCGAGCACGCGGGUGUGUUUAAUCUUGCAAAGGUUAAAAAGAGUUUAGAAGCUCCGUAUCUU
rnacentral:tRNA from 1 species